rnacentral:lncRNA from 1 species
GGUUAUAGUAUUUUUCGCAUCUAUGUACAACAUGUGUAACGCCUUAAUAAUAAGCCAUGCUUUGUUUCUAACUGUUUCUUUUGCCUGCUGGUAAUAUGACUCUCACUUCUACACUCUUAUUCCUUAUUGAAGCCAAUGUGGCACAGUAGAGCUCUUGUUUGCGUCAUUUACUGAUAAUCUGCAGAAAUCAGAUUAUAUGAUGGUAAUGGCUGACCACUCGUCAAAUCCUGGCAAUAUGUGCGGUGAAAAGCAAAUAACCCUUUAUUUUGUACAGGACUAUUUCAUUUAUCUGCUACAAUGUUAUUUAGUGACCCAUGUUCGGACUCUUGAUCCUCGGGUAAGGGCACAAGAUGUGUGCAGUUGGAUAUAUAGACCUAGCAAGCAUCUUAGUUUUUCCAAUUUACCAUGCUCUCUACACCUUGUAAACAACAUUUUACCAUAGAAAAUAUAUUAGGAAGUAUAAAUAUUUUGAUGUAUCCCAAUGUCCUUGGAUAUGGGAAUUAGAUGAAUCUAACACUUGGAGACACACCCGAGCGCAUGUAAUAUAGCACGUGAUAUUAGAAAGUCAAAGUUGUAUAGGAAACUGCA